rnacentral:snRNA from 1 species
GUUAUAAAAAACCAACCGAGGACAUCCAAUAAACCUAUAACGAUACAAAGUAAAUUAGCGUGGCCCAUCCACAAAGAUGACAUGUGUAAAUUGAGAUCAAAACAAUCCAUUU